rnacentral:rRNA from 1 species
UACGGAGGAUCCGAGCGUUAUCCGGAUUUAUUGGGUUUAAAGGGUGCGCAGGCGGGGGAUUAAGUCGGCGGUGAAAUUUUGCAGCUCAACUGUAAAAGUGCCUUCGAUACUGGUGGUCUUGAGUGUGGAUGAGGUAGGCGGAAUUUGUGGUGUAGCGGUGAAAUGCAUAGAUAUCACGAGGAACUCCGAUUGCUAAGGCAGCUUACUAAGCCAUAACUGACGCUCAAGCACGAAGGCGUGGGGAUCAAACAGGAUUAGAUACCCGUGUA